AUUGAACGCUGGCGGCAGGCUUAACACAUGCAAGUCGAGCGGGGGAGGUUGCUUCGGUAACUGACCUAGCGGCGGACGGGUGAGUAAUGCUUAGGAAUCUGCCUAUUAGUGGGGGACAACAUCUCGAAAGGGAUACUAAUACCGCAUACGUCCUACGGGAGAAAGCAGGGGACCUUCGGGCCUUGCGCUAAUAGAUGAGCCUAAGUCGGAUUAGCUAGGUGGUGGGGUAAAGGCCUACCAAGGCGACGAUCUGUAGCGGGUCUGAGAGGAUGAUCCGCCACACUGGGACUGGAACGCGGCCCAGACUCCUACGGGAGGCAACAGUGGGGAAUAUUGGACAAUGGGCGGAAGCCUGAUCCAGCCAUGCCGCGUGUGUGAAGAAGGCCUUUUGGUUGUAAAGCACUUUAAGCGAGGAGGAGGCUCUUAAGGUUAAUACCCUUGAUGAGUGGACGUUACUCGCAGAAUAAGUACCGGCUAACUCUGUGCCAGCAGCCGCAGUAAGAC
rnacentral:rRNA from 1 species